UGGGGAAUCUUGGACAAUGGGGGCAACCCUGAUCCAGCCAUGCCGCGUGAGUGAUGAAGGCCUUAGGGUCGUAAAGCUCUUUCGCCUGUGAAGAUAAUGACGGUAGCAGGUAAAGAAACCCCGGCUAACUCCGUGCCAGCAGCCGCGGUAAUACGGAGGGGGUUAGCGUUGUUCGGAAUUACUGGGCGUAAAGCGCACGUAGGCGGACCAGAAAGUUGGGGGUGAAAUCCCGGGGGCUCAACCCCGGAACUGCCUCCAAAACUAUUGGUCUAGAGUUCGAGAGAGGUGAGUGGAAUUCCAAGUGUAGAGGUGAAAUUCGUAGAUAUUUGGAGGAACACCAGUGGCGAAGGCGGCUCACUGGCUCGAUACUGACGCUGAGGUGCGAAAGUGUGGGGAGCAAAACAGGAUUAGAUACCCCUGGUAGUCCACACCGUAAAACGAUGAAUGCCAGUCGUCGGGUAGCAUGCUAUUCGGUGACACACCUAACGGAUUAAGCAUUCCGCCUGGGGAGUACGGUCGCAAGA
rnacentral:rRNA from 1 species